rnacentral:lncRNA from 1 species
AAUGCUUGAAUUAAAGUUAGUAGUUAGUAGUUAUGUUAGUUUGUCAUGAGACAAUUUAGCGCUAUGUUAAGCAAUCGUAAGUGGACUAAUGUAGUAGUCACACCUAUCUGAGGCCGGUCAAUAAAACUAUAGGCAAAUAAACACAAGUUAGAGAUCAUGACUAGUAAGCCAAGCUCCAAAAACUUGCCAUGCCAAAAGAAAAGAGGAAAGGCCUUGUAUGGACUUUAGGUUUUUUGCUUGACCAAGAAGAAACCUAUCUUGGACACAAAGCAACUCACUUGAUCUUGGAUCAAGUUGAGCUUGAU